rnacentral:misc_RNA from 1 species
CUCUCUCUCUCUCUCUCUCUCGUAGCCACUAGUUUAUGCUGCAAAUGGGGAAGCUAUUAUCUCCCAUGAAUUCCCUAAGAGGCAGAGAGACCUAGUAUGUGCACCACUGGACCAAUAGACCAUUGAAAGGCCGCCUGGGAGAAGAAUUAUCCUGUGAUUUUUUUUGUUUUUAUAAUUUUGUGUCAUUUAUAGUUGUUUUACCGCAUUAUAUUCAAUUUAAUUUUUUAUUCAUUGUUACAGGCAAUUACAUUUUCUGACUUUUUU